CAGGACUGCUCUACCUCCAUCCUGUGGUACGAUCCGUGUGGCUUUGGACAGAACUCAGUGAACAACCUCAAGUAUUUCUCAAGUUUUUCUUCAUUUCUCCUGUAUCUCUGAGCUGUUUUGUACUGUGAGAGCUAGAUCGAGGGAUGGAAGGCAUUGACUCAGAGCUAAAGGCAGUCUGUGCACAAGGGGAUAUGUGGAUUCUCAUUUUGUGUCCAAAGAAAUUGUGGGUGCAAUUAAGAUAUUAAAUUCAAGGAAACUGUAUAGAUUAGCUGGAGGAGUUUAGUAAAUAGUUAAAGGAUCAGCUAAUCCUUCCUUUACUGAUGACUUACAUCAGCUCUUUACUUGCAGUAGCUCCAGCUUUGCUUUCCAGGCUUGUAGCUCAGCUACUGCAUAAAGAGUUCCACGGCAGGAAGGCAGCAAAAGCAGAAAAGAGGUCAAUGGGCAACCCCUCCCUCCAAGGUGAGCGUGUGAUCAUCGCAGCACCAAACCUACCCCUUUCUUUCUCUCUACCUGCAGAUUGGGAUCAGUCCCUGGCAGCAGUACCUGGGUUGCUGCAGUUAGAGCCACAUGUCUGUAAACCACAGCAUGGCAAAGAUGCCUGCAUGUGCAUGCAGAUUGUGUGGAAAUUAUAUCCCUUCCUCAUCCUCAUCUUUUACUCAGGUUCCACGCAGGGAGAGGCUGCCACCGCUUUCCAAGCUGUUAUAAACCAAGCAAACCCAAAUUUCAGGUGAGACCUCCUUCUUUGGCUUUGGUUCAAAACUAUGAAGUGGAAAACUCCUGUCUAGAGGUCUAUGCAAACCUCUGUCUCUUUAAGUUGGUCUGAACAAACUACUAUUGCUCUUGCUUUAAAGAAAAUGUCAUAACUUGUUUAAAGAAGAAAAAGAAAGAAAUUUCCCAAGAAAAGCAUAAACAUUCACAGUGCUGCUCAGCAGAAAUAUGCUGUGGCCUCUUUCCACCGGGAAGGCAGAGGAAAUUGGGAUUUCACCCCCCUGACCUCUUUUAGGAAAAAAAUACAUAUAACUUCAAAUAACUUCAUUUUGGUGUCAGCAUUCAACAGAGUUCCAAAAAAAAAAAAGAAAAAAAGAGAGAGAUGAAGGAGAUGAAGUCUCCUUUCCCCUUCCUCUAGAGCACAGAACAGGAAUCUAGUAUUAUCGUGUCAUCAUUGUACAAGAGAGAACUAUUUAUAAUUUUCUGAACUUCCAUCUUGUAAGCAGGGAAAUACAACAGCUUCUUUAAAAAGCCCAGCAGGGAUUUUUCUGAAUUUGCACAACACGGAGUCAUCUAACAGGAGAAAAAAAAAAAAAACAAAAAACAUUUCUGCUAGUGCAGCCAUAGCUGUAUCUUAAAAUCUAGAUGCUAAACAGACACGUGUGUUCAACAAGGCAUCUUGUCCAUGCUGCUUGUUCUUAAGGUACAAACAGUACAAGGAACAACUCAGUGAGAUUCUAGUCCCAGAUGAGCAACUGGGUUCUGCCAAAAUAGAAAUAUGCUGUUAAUUUUCCUCAGUGACAGCACUGCCACAUCGUCAUCCUACAUGACAUCUGAUCAUAUCCGGGUGGACUUAAUGCUUUAAAGUACUAGACAUCAAUGAAAACAAAGACAGGGGUAGCAGUGGAGGGCGUUUGACAGCAGGAUGGCACCACUCCAAGCUCUCAAGGCAAGUCCCUGGCAAAUAGUAAGCAAUUUUGUUGAAAGAGUGAAAGAGCAGUGAGCAGAACGGCCCUGAGGAGGUGCAUUGCAGCAAAUGGGUGUGGGGCUGUUGUGGAUGAUGCUGCCCUGAUGGGGGAGGAAGACCCCAAGCCCCUGUGUCCUCCAAGAGCAGGGCAGCACAAGGGAGAACACUGGUGGGGAAAGGAACAGGGCAGAGAAAUGGGAAGGAGUGGGAGGUCUUUACUGAUGUGACACAAGCGCCUCUGUGACUUGGAGUUGUCCUGAAGGUGGCUGGGGGCAAGGGGUGGCCACAUCAGAACAAGCAUGAUGCACACUUGUCUGAUUUAUGAAAAGUCCAGUGCACUUUGAUCCCCUCCUAGUCCUCAGGAUGGGAUUGGUCUAAUGAUGUGUAUCUGCUGGUAUGCAGCAAGGUGUAACCCCCAGCCUUCUUCUGAAGGUGUCCUAUGUGUACGUGGUAUGAUUUGAGACCAGAGCCCAUUUUACAGCGGAGUUUUCAGCAACCUGUUUACCGUCAUAAAUAAGGUCAAAUCUCGAAAGCUUAAUUCUUCUGUGUCUGAUGUGUCUCUUCUGUAUUUUAUAGUAUGUAACCGUGGGUGCUUUAAAAGAGCAUGUGAAUUACAGGUAUGUGAUCAGGAGUCUGCCCUCCCUUAGUAAAAGUGUCAAUCACCUCCUGACUCAACCUUAAUCUUCAAAAUAGCCUAUAAGGUCAUAGAAAAGACACAGAACUCAGGAUUUUUGCUGAAAAUAGAGUCCUUGUGUCUUUUUCAAAUAUGGAUGUCUUUUAAAUAAAAGCCAGUGGCAAUGAUUAUAAUUGAAUGGC
rnacentral:lncRNA from 1 species